rnacentral:tRNA from 1 species
CCGCGCGCGGCGCGGCGUCCGCGCUCCAUCAGCUUGGGAUCGAUGCGAAAGCGCUCGGCCGCCGCGAGCCGCGCGGCC